rnacentral:lncRNA from 1 species
UUUUUUUUUUGUUUUUUUGCUUUUUAGGGCCACAGUUGCGGCAUAUGGAAGUUCCCAGGCUAGUGGUGGAAUCAGAGCUGCAGCUGUAGCUUAUGCUAUAGCCACAAGAACAAGGGAUCCAAGACAUGUCUGCGACUUACACCAUAGCUCAGGGCAACGCUAGAUCCUUAACCCACUGAGUGAGGCCAGGGAUGGAACCUGCAUACUCACAGAUACUAGUAGAGUUCAUUUCCACUGAGCCACAAUGGGAACUCCCAACUAUCAACUACUUUAAACUGCAUUUGUUUAUUUGAUUAAUAAGAGUUGAGAGCAGGAACUAUGCUUUCAAUAUUCCUCUGCCCAUCAAGAUGUCUGGCUUACAGUGCAUGCUUAAUAUGUGAUGCUGAUCACUACUUACAAAAUUUUGCAUGAGUACAAAAGAGAAAAAUGUUUCUAGCCUUUAUCUACUAUCGUUUUCAUUUAUUUCUGGCACUGGCAAGAUAGAAAAUUUGCAUUACUUCUGAGCACAGGCAUGAUGCAUUUCGAUAUGCUUUUCCAUCUCUGCACAGGAUAAAAUAUAUGCCAUAUGACAACUGGUACCGCAAUUUUAUGCUGAAUUGGAAUAUUUUAGACCUUGAUGAGUUCAACAGAUAUACACACACAGAAAAGAUAGAUGUCAAAAGAACAGGCACAUGUUUCGCUAUCUCUACCUUCAACACCGCUAACUAUGGGCCUGUGUUAUCAGAUCUCUUUUCUCAGACUGUUUCUCAGGAAGUGAGUUACACACACUUUAUACGAUGACUUUAAAAAUGGGUCUACAUACGCUAAAUGGAUUGAAGAUGUCUUUUUGACGUAGAUAAAAUGAAAGUUACAAAUAUGAUUCAAAAACUCUUCACAAAAAUCAAAGACAAACUUAUUUUGGGUAGAAGGCAGGGAGGCUAACUACUGAGAAAUGUAGGAAAUUCAUGUGUUAAUUUAUAUAACUUCACAGCAUGGUGGUGUAUUUUCCUUAAGUCUGUCUGACAGAAAAAUUUCAGAGGCAUGAUUCUUCCAGCUAAUCUUAUCAAAGGAAAGUUCAAAUGUGUCAAAACUAACAGAGGUUCUUAAUGCCACAUCAUUAUGGAAAUUGUUCUGAACUGGGGCUGAGUAAUGGAGUUGCUAAUGCAGGUUCUAACAGGGCCAUCAUUUCUUCCAGGGGGUUUUUAUUUUGCAUAUCCAUAUGAAAAGAAUGGAAUGAGUUCCCUUGUGGUGCAGCAGGUUAAGGAUCCUGUGUUGUUACUGCAGCAGCUUUGGUUGCUGACAUGGAAUGGGUUUGAUUCCUGACCUGGGAACUUUGGCAUGCCAUGCUUAAGAAAAAAAAAAAAAAAAAAAGAAUUGGACUAAACCAUAGGUUUGAAAAACCUUGGUUGUACUUUAGAAUAUACCUUGUUUAGAAAAAUACCCAUCCCCAAGCCCAAUCCUCAAAGAUGCUGAUUCAGCUGGUCUGGGGAAGAGGGAGCCUCAGAAGUUCCCCAGGUGAGUGUAAUAUGCAGCCUGAACUGGAAAUCACUGACUGUGGGUCCUCUAAACAUCUUGAUUGCCUAAGAUAUAUGAUCCUGGAACUUCUGGGAAAAGUUCCUUUCUCUCUCUCUCUCUUUCUCUCUCACACAUACAGCCAAAGUUUGCUCAUUAAUCUGGACCUCCCGUUUCUAGUCCAAUGGUUAGUUUUCCACACCAGUGAGGUCUAAUUUUUCAACUAACAAAUGAAAACUGUGCUAUCCUGCAUGCAAAUCAGAUAAAGCAUUAAUUAACAGGGAAGGUAGGUAGAAGGAAGAGAAGCAGAGAAACAAAAUAUAAGCACUGUUAGAAUACAAGCUUUCUAAAAGCAACAGUGUAUCUGCUCAUCAACAUUUAAUCAAGUAUUGCUUGGUGCUUAUUUACAUAUAAGCUUUUAACAAUUCCUCUGCUUGAAGCAUAUCAUGGCAACUAGAAAAAAAUAAUCUUGAUAGGGGAGACAAAUUCACUGCUACAGAAAUGUUGAGGGUUGGUCUAAUUAAGGAGACAAACCUAUUUCAAUAAAGAAGAUGCUUGAUGAUUAUUUAAUGAAUUAGUGAAAUUCUCCCAUGUUCUAGAUGCAGACCUUACGUUUAUCUGAUGAUUGGAAAAGCUCUUUCCUAGGAAAAUUGUAAUGGUUUUUGCUUUGCUAAAGGAAGAUCCCGAGUGUCUCUGACCCUACUCUUAAAACUAAGAUGGAUUUCCUUGGGAGAGAGGAACAUAGCUUUUUUUGUACUUCUCUGUUCAGGCCACAGUUAAGAGGCUGGAAUCAUGGUUUAAAACAAGGAGUUGAAGACUCUGGUCCUAUUUUUAGGCCUGGCCUCUAUUUCUGUAGGUGGUGGGAAUCUUUGAGACAUGGCAGCAGGGACAGGUGCAAAUGGUCAUUUCUGAAGGGCUGCCCAGUUCUUAGAUCCUCCUUUGUGUUUGAAGGGGUUUGAUUUCAAGAAACAGGUAAAUCCAUAGCCACUAAAAUUUCUUUAAUUAGAUAACAUUCAUACAGUUGUUCAUCCAAUAAAUAUUUAUGGUGGGCCAUCUUUGUUCUAAGCCAUGGGGAUAUAAAGAUUCCUAGAUGGUUAUCAAGCACACAACUUACUAUUGACUUCAACCCAAACGGUUUUAAGUCAAUUCACACACAUGAACCCUUUAUUCUCCAUUCCACUAGCAAUUCUUUUCAUUCUUUUUUUUUUUUUUUCUUUUUAUGGCCACACCUGCAGUAUAUGGAAGUUUCAGGGCUGGGGGUUAGAUUGGAGACACAGCUGGGGCCUACACCACAGCCACAGCAACACUGAUCUGAGACAUGUCUGUGACCUAUGCUGCAGCUUUAGGCAACAUCUGGAUCCUUAACCCACUGAGUGAGGCCAGGGAUUGAACCCAUAUCCUCAUAGAGACAACACUGGGGCCUUAACCUGCUGAGCCACAGUGGGGAACUUCUCAUUCUUUACUAAGUGACUUUAAAAGCUGUUUAGUGGACCCUCCUCCUUUUCAGAGGACCUAGUUGCUUGCGUUAAUGAUGAUGUUCCUGAUGCCAACCCUCUUGUUCUUUCACUUUAAUCAAAUCCCCUGCAUCCCUGGGGGAGGGGAAGCUUUUGAUCUCAUGAUGUCCUGCCUAGCAAAAAUGUCUUAUUCAUAAAGCACUAAUUUGUCAUUAAUUUACUAUUGCUUGACUCUUUUCAGUUUACUUUUAAUCCCCACCUGAAAAUAUCAAUGAAAGGAAAUGCCCCCAAAUAUUUCAAUGUUAGAAGCAAGAAUAUCAAAUGUAUGUGUGUUGGGGGAGGGGGAACAGGAAACAGAUGCGGAAGUCCCCUGGUGCUGAAAAAUUCUAUUUGAAAUGACUAAGAUGAUCCUUUGUCACUAAACACAAGACCCAUGUUGCUGUUUUGAUUUAAACCCUUCAUGAAAAACUGGAGUAGAUGUACAAAUAUACUUUUUGUAAUUUAAUGUGUAAAAGCCCACCAUGGAAUCUGGACUCUCUUCUCUGUGUAAUUACAGUCAUUUUCUAAAGUGUCUUGGAUGAAAACACAGGGUCAUAGUUGCUGUAUUCAGUAAUAUCUUGUAAAAACAUCAUCUCAGAGCUUGAAAUCCAGUAUGCUGUUCUCUAUAUGGUGAAUACCUUAAUACCUACACUCUUUGCUUUGUGGAGGUGGGUACCAAUCACUCCAGCUAUCACAGUCAAAGGUGCUCUGGGUUCCCUGAGAGUUAUUCCACGUGCCAACAUUAGGACCUGCUAUGCUGCCAGAGGCACAAGGAAGCAUGAGGGUAUUUGCCCAAAGUGGUUUUGAUAUCACUGGGUUACACAAUCGAACCAAUGAAUUACCAUUAGAAAGACAUGCAAUAAGCAGAAGAUUUAAAAAGAGAAAAGAAAUCACAGGGUGAUUUAUAGUUUUUAAAAGAAAACCUUUUCAGUUCUUUAAGCCAUGCCUAUAUAUUUAAAGUAACAUCAGGGCUUUUUUUUUUUUUUUUAAUACAAUGAAGAAAAUAUCUUAUCUCCCUAUUCUUGUCAAGACACUUUAUCUGCAAUUUCAAUCCAUAAUAAUUGCUUUCUAAAAACUACCCUUUUUGAUAAAUCUUGCUUGGACAGUUUGGUGCAGAGACAUCAAAAAAAAGCUUUCUUUAAGGCAGUUACAAGCUUAAUCUGGUCAAGAAUAGAUAAACACUAUUAAUGUUUCCUUUUUUCCCCCCUCAUUUUCUCCACUCUCUGCCUCUGCUAUUUCUUACACUACUUCUGAAGCAAUAUUCUCUCUCUUAUUUACUAUUUUAUGCAUUCUCUCUACAGCCGCCUACAGUUAUUUAAAUUUUUUUUUUUUUUUAAAGCAGAUAAACACCGAGAAAGCCAACUUUACCAUUCAACUUUUCCAUUAUGAAGGAUCCUGGGGUCUUAUCAGGUAAAGCUAUAAUAUGAAAAUUUAUCCACAUGGUAAUAUCCCUUUACUGUAUGGAUUUUGGGAAAAAAAAAAAACCACCCACAUCUUUGUUGUCAGACUUUGGGGUGCAAUGCUGGCUGUCCAUAAGUGAUUUUGAAAAGGCCUAUGUUGAAAUGUCUCCAACUAAACUAUAUGAGAGAGGUUGUAUGGGAUGCAUAAGAGAGAACUAUUAGAUUAAAAUAUGAGCUUCUGAGAGUUCCCAUCUUGCUCAGCAGUAACAAACCUGACCAGUAUGCAUGAGGAUUGGGGUUUGAUCCCUGGCCUCGCUCAGUGGAUUAAGGAUCCGGCAUUGCCAUGAGCUGUGGUGAAGAUUGCAAACCUGGCACAUUGCUGUGGCUGUGGCACAGGCUGGCAGCUGCAGCUCCAAUUUGACCCCUAGCCUGGGAAUUUCCAUAUGCCACAGGUGUGGACAUAAAAAGGAAAAAAAAAAUAUGAGCUUCUCAGAAAGAUGCAUAAUGACAACACUAUUUAAAUUAAAUCUCCUUUCUCUUGAGAUUGUACAAUCCAUGAGGCAGGUGUCUUGCAUCCUCAGCACCAAGUUCAAUGCAUAGUUUGUAACUUCACUGUCUAAUACAGUGGCUACUAGUCACUUGUGGCUUUUAAGCACUUGAAAUGUGACUAGUUCAAAUUGAGAUGGGUUGUAAGAAAAAAGUACACACUAGAUUUUGAAGAGUUAGUGCCCCCAAAAUAAGAACAUAAAAUAUCUCAUUAAUAACUUUAAUACAGAUUACAUGUCAAAAAUGAUACUAUUUUGGAUACAUUUCAUAAGUAAAAUAUAUUAUUAAAAUUUUUGUUUAUUUUUACUUUUUAAAAAUGUGGCUACUAGAAAAUUUAAAAUUCCAUAGGUGACUCACAAUAUAUUUUUAUUAAGCAGCACUUGUCUAAAGAAUUCAGCAUAGGAGUUCCCUUCAUGGCUCAGUGGUUAAUGAAACCGACUAGGAACCAAGAGGUUGAGGGUUCGAUCCAUGGCCUUGCUCGGUGGGUUAAGGAUCCGGCGUUGCUGUGGGCUAGCAGCUACAGCUCCGAUUAGACCCCUAGCCUGGGAAAUGCAGGAGCGGCCC